UGCAAUAUGAGUUGGCACGAGACAAGUAUCACAUUUCUGAUGCAUCCUAAUCACAGACUAAUUUCUACGCUUUUGACUAUAAUAAGUGUUCUAUGAUGUUAGCACUUAGUAUCUAUAUGCUUUUGCCUUUCAGUAAUUAAAAAUUUUCUGAAAAGUUGAAUUGUUUGGAUAAAACCGCUAAUGAAGAAGACAUAAAGAUAUUGCUUUGAGUAUACACAUCCAUUGAUUUUCUUCCUUUGGCAUUGUAGAAAGAGAUGUAGAAAGAGA
rnacentral:misc_RNA from 1 species